rnacentral:misc_RNA from 1 species
UUAAUUUAACAUAACUUAUUUAUAUCUUAAUAAUUAGAAAAAAGAAAUACAUUUUUAAAUAUCUUAUUAAAUUACACAACUAAAAUAAAAUAAAAACCACCAAUGAAUCGAUGAAUUUCAACUCAGCAAUAUUAAAGUCAUCUUCAGGAUUGUGAGCUCUCAAAUUAGAGUCACAAACAGAAUCAUUGAAAAAAGAGCCAGCCAUUAUUAGAUCAUAGAAGGUGACACAACCACUGGCAUACAUCUGGGUUUUUACAAGUUUGAUACACAAUUCUCAAGUUUCAACCAUAUUUCAUAGCUAGAGUUCAAAAUACUCAGAACUACUUCAUGCAUUGACCUUAGGCUCCCACCCUGCGAUCACAUGUUCCGUUGUAGCCUUGGUCUUCUGGAAAGAUUCCCGGGAGAAGAGCAACUGCAAAACAGAUGUCAAAUUUAUAUCUAUUUGCAGUCUCCAACAACUUAUAAUUCAUGGCUGCACUAACAUAUAUGAAGAAGGGAGUAUUUAUGCCACACAAUGUCCACCCCAACAAAGACCUGGCCAAACUUGCCCUUGGCCAAGUCUACCCUAACGCACACACACAAUCAGUCGGAGGGAGAGAGAGAUUUGGUUCCAAGGCGAAGCUCAAAAUCAUCAAUAUCAUAAUAAUUUAACACUACUCAAUGCAGCGAAGACCCUUUUUUCAUUAUAUAUCCAUCGGUCAACUAUGGAGUCAAAAUAGUAAUCCAAUGUUGAAAUAAUGAAACCUACCAGCCAUAUUUCAAAUUAAUUGGAUCUUAAUUAAGACUUACAAGCCAACAUCAUGAGGAUUUAUCCCCAUCAUAUUUAACUAUCAAUUUUUAUAUUUGAAGCACAGGGCAUGUAAGAAAAGGGGAUAAAGUAUAUAGACACAACAUCACUGCAUUAUUAGUUUUCGUAUUCUAUAAGACACAUAUCUAAGGAAGUAAAAUCCCAUGAGGAAAUGGCAUCAAGAAAUAGGCACCGCAAGAAAGAAACAAACUUGGGAUGUCUACCCAGUGGGUUGCCACUCUAAGGAAGGAUCAGUCCUUGAUAGAAGCAAAUUCCAGGAAUAGCACAGCAAGACAAUUGUGGAUCAUAAGUGAUAACAGCCCAUUGACACAACAAAUUUCCAAAACAAACUUGGAAAUUAGCAGUAGUACUACUGCCUACUGAAUGGCAAAUUGCAGCUACCACAGCAACAAUAACGGCAGCUAAGUCUUAACGACUUAACCCCAAAUUAGUUGGGAUCGACUAUACUCAACUCAACUCAACUA